rnacentral:rRNA from 1 species
UACGAAGGGGGCUAGCGUUGCUCGGAAUUACUGGGCGUAAAGAGCGUGUAGGCGGUUUGGUAGGUCCGUUGUGAAAACUCGAGGCUCAACCUCGAGACGCCGAUGGAAACCAUCAGACUAGAGUCCGGAAGAGGAGAGUGGAAUUCCUGGUGUAGCGGUGAAAUGCGCAGAUAUCAGGAAGAACACCCGUGGCUAAGGCGGCUCUCUAGUACGGUACUGACGCUGAGACGCGAAAGCGUGGGGAGCGAACAGG